UACCCCGAGGAAAAGAAAUCAACCGAGAUUCCCCCAGUAGCGGCGAGCGAACGGGGAGGAGCCCAGAGCCUGAAUCAGUGUGUGUGUUAGUGGAAGCGUCUGGAAAGGCGCGCGAUACAGGGUGACAGCCCCGUACACAAAAAUGCACAUGCUGUGAGCUCGAUGAGUAGGGCGGGACACGUGGUAUCCUGUCUGAAUAUGGGGGGACCAUCCUCCAAGGCUAAAUACUCCUGACUGACCGAUAGUGAACCAGUACCGUGAGGGAAAGGCGAAAAGAACCCCGGCGAGGGGAGUGAAAAAGAACCUGAAACCGUGUACGUACAAGCAGUGGGAGCCUCUUUAUGGGGUGACUGCGUACCUUUUGUAUAAUGGGUCAGCGACUUAUAUUCUGUAGCAAGGUUAACCGAAUAGGGGAGCCGAAGGGAAACCGAGUCUUAACUGGGCGUUAAGUUGCAGGGUAUAGACCCGAAACCCGGUGAUCUAGCCAUGGGCAGGUUGAAGGUUGGGUAACACUAACUGGAGGACCGAACCGACUAAUGUUGAAAAAUUAGCGGAUGACUUGUGGCUGGGGGUGAAAGGCCAAUCAAACCGGGAGAUAGCUGGUUCUCCCCGAAAGCUAUUUAGGUAGCGCCUCGUGAAUUCAUCUCCGGGGGUAGAGCACUGUUUCGGCAAGGGGGUCAUCCCGACUUACCAACCCGAUGCAAACUGCGAAUACCGGAGAAUGUUAUCACGGGAGACACACGGCGGGUGCUAACGUCCGUCGUGAAGAGGGAAACAACCCAGACCGCCAGCUAAGGUCCCAAAGUCAUGGUUAAGUGGGAAACGAUGUGGGAAGGCCCAGACAGCCAGGAUGUUGGCUUAGAAGCAGCCAUCAUUUAAAGAAAGCGUAAUAGCUCACUGGUCGAGUCGGCCUGCGCGGAAGAUGUAACGGGGCUAAACCAUGCACCGAAGCUGCGGCAGCGACACUAUGUGUUGUUGGGUAGGGGAGCGUUCUGUAAGCCUGUGAAGGUGUGCUGUGAGGCAUGCUGGAGGUAUCAGAAGUGCGAAUGCUGACAUAAGUAACGAUAAAGCGGGUGAAAAGCCCGCUCGCCGGAAGACCAAGGGUUCCUGUCCAACGUUAAUCGGGGCAGGGUGAGUCGACCCCUAAGGCGAGGCCGAAAGGCGUAGUCGAUGGGAAACAGGUUAAUAUUCCUGUACUUGGUGUUACUGCGAAGGGGGGACGGAGAAGGCUAUGUUGGCCGGGCGACGGUUGUCCCGGUUUAAGCGUGUAGGCUGGUUUUCCAGGCAAAUCCGGAAAAUCAAGGCUGAGGCGUGAUGACGAGGCACUACGGUGCUGAAGCAACAAAUGCCCUGCUUCCAGGAAAAGCCUCUAAGCAUCAGGUAACAUCAAAUCGUACCCCAAACCGACACAGGUGGUCAGGUAGAGAAUACCAAGGCGCUUGAGAGAACUCGGGUGAAGGAACUAGGCAAAAUGGUGCCGUAACUUCGGGAGAAGGCACGCUGAUAUGUAGGUGAAGUCCCUCGCGGAUGGAGCUGAAAUCAGUCGAAGAUACCAGCUGGCUGCAACUGUUUAUUAAAAACACAGCACUGUGCAAACACGAAAGUGGACGUAUACGGUGUGACGCCUGCCCGGUGCCGGAAGGUUAAUUGAUGGGGUCAGCGCAAGCGAAGCUCUUGAUCGAAGCCCCGGUAAACGGCGGCCGUAACUAUAACGGUCCUAAGGUAGCGAAAUUCCUUGUCGGGUAAGUUCCGACCUGCACGAAUGGCGUAAUGAUGGCCAGGCUGUCUCCACCCGAGACUCAGUGAAAUUGAACUCGCUGUGAAGAUGCAGUGUACCCGCGGCA
rnacentral:rRNA from 1 species